rnacentral:lncRNA from 1 species
AAUUUAAAAUAAAAGUUUUUUAAAAAAACAAAGUAUUUCAAGAUAAAUGUAUUCUUAUUGAAUAAACAAUAAUUUUGUGAAAAAAAGAGGCUCAAUUGGAGGUGGCAGAAGAGCUCCCAAAUAACAGUCACCUAAACAAGUUAGUAUACUUCUUGCUCACACAAAAUUAGACAGAGGCUUGGCCAUCCGGGUUUGGUGUGGCAGCUCUGCUUCAUGAGCCACUGGGACUCCGCACUCCCCCAGCUUUACUUAGGGCAUGUCUUCAUUUACUAAUAGUCACAUAGAGCUGCUGGAGCUCCAGCAAAU